rnacentral:rRNA from 1 species
CCAGACUCCUACGGGAGGCAGCAGUGGGGGAUAUUGCACAAUGGGGGGAACCCUGAUGCAGCGACGCCGCGUGAGGGAAGACGGUUUUCGGAUUGUAAACCUCUGUCUUUAGGGACGAAACAAAUGACGGUACCUAAAGAGGAAGCCACGGCUAACUACGUGCCAGCAGCCGCGGUAAUACGUAGGUGGCAAGCGUUGUCCGGAAUUACUGGGUGUAAAGGGUGCGUAGGCGGCUUUGCAAGUCAGAAGUGAAAUCUAUGGGCUUAACCCAUAAACUGCUUUUGAAACUGCAGGGCUUGAGUGAAGUAGAGGUAGGCGGAAUUCCCGGUGUAGCGGUGAAAUGCGUAGAGAUCGGGAGGAACACCAGUGGCGAAGGCGGCCUACUGGGCUUUAACUGACGCUGAGGCACGAAAGCGUGGGUAGCAAACAGGAUUAGAUACCCCAGUA